rnacentral:rRNA from 1 species
UACGUAGGGGCCUAGCGUUGUCCGGAAUUAUUGGGCGUAAAGAGCUCGUAGGCGGUUCGGCAAGUCGGAUGUGAAAUCUCCACGCUUAACGUGGAGGGGCCAUUCGAAACUGCUGUGACUCGAGUCCGGUAGGGGAGUGUGGAAUUCCCGGUGUAGCGGUGAAAUGCGCAGAUAUCAGGAGGAACACCGGUGGCGAAGGCGGGUCUCUGGGCCUGUACUGACGCUGAGGAGCGAAAGCGUGGGGAGCGAACAGG